rfam:Schistosoma rodhaini strain Burundi genome assembly, scaffold: SROB_scaffold0002378
AUCCAGCUGACGAGUCCCAAAUAGGAUGAAACCCGAGUCAAACUGGAU